rnacentral:rRNA from 1 species
GACGAACGCUGGCGGCGUGCUUAACACAUGCAAGUCGAGCGGAAAGGCUCCUUCGGGGGUACUCGAGCGGCGAACGGGCGAGUAACACGUGAGUAAUCUGCCCUGUGCUCUGGGAUAGCCACCGGAAACGGUGAUUAAUACCGGAUACAACCACUAUACGCAUGGGUUGGUGGUGGAAAGUUUUUUCGGCACAGGAUGUGCUCGCGGCCUAUCAGCUUGUUGGUGAGGUAAUGGCUCACCAAGGCUUUGACGGGUAGCCGGCCUGAGAGGGUGACCGGUCACACUGGGACUGAGACACGGCCCAGACUCCUACGGGAGGCAGCAGUGGGGAAUAUUGGACAAUGGGCGGAAGCCAGAUCCAGCAACGCCGCGUGAGGGAUGACGGCCUUCGGGUUGUAAACCUCUUUCAGUACCGACGAAGCGCAAGUGACGGUAGGUACAGAAGAAGGACCGGCCAACUACGUGCCAGCCGCCGCGGUAAAAC